UACGUAGGGUGCGAGCGUUGUCCGGAAUUACUGGGCGUAAAGAGCUCGUAGGUGGUUUGUCGCGUUGUUCGUGAAAACUCACAACUCAAUUGUGGGCGUGCGGGCGAUACGGGCAGACUGGAGUACUGCAGGGGAGACUGGAAUUCCUGGUGUAGCGGUGGAAUGCGCAGAUAUCAGGAGGAACACCGGUGGCGAAGGCGGGUCUCUGGGCCGAUAUUGACGCUGAGGAGCGAAAGCGUGGGGAGCGAACAGG
rnacentral:rRNA from 1 species